rnacentral:rRNA from 1 species
AUGGCGACCUCGCUGCUCCUCUCCCAAUCCCAACAAUGGCAACAAUGGCAACAAUGGCAGCCCCUCCUCUUAGCACUCCUCGUUUCUGCCGUCUCCCUCCUGCUGUUGACGAGGAGGAAAUGGAAAGGGCGGCUGAGGCUGCCACCAGGGCCCGCCCAGGUGCCCCUCCUGGGGAACCUGCACCAGCUAGGCUCGCUGCCGCACCGUGCUCUGCGUGAUCUGGCGCGGCUCCACGGGCCGGUGAUGCAGCUGCGGCUCGGCACGGCGCCCGCCGUGGUGCUGUCGUCGGCGGAGGCGGCAUGGGAGGUGCUCAAGGUGCACGACCUGGACUGCUGCACGCGGCCCGUGUCCCCGGGGCCGAGGCGCCUCACCUACGGCCUCAAGAACGUGGCGUUCGCGCCCUACGGCGCCUACUGGCGCCACAUCCGCAAGCUCCUCGUCGUCGAGCUCCUCAGCGCGCGCCGCGUCAAGGCCGCGUGGUACGCCCGCCAGGAGCAAGUGGACAUGCUGAUGAGCGCCCUGUUAACCGCCGCGGCGGCGAGGCGGGCGGUGGCGCUGGACGAGCACGUCCUGCGCCUCUCCGACGGCGUCAUCGGUACGGUGGCGUUCGGCAGCGUCUACGCCAGCGACAGGUUCGCGCUCAACGAGAGCUUCCAGCACGCACUCGACGAGGCCAUGGAGAUGAUCUCCAGCACCUCCGCGGAGGACUUCUUCCCCAAAGUCAUCGGCCGGCUCGUCGACCGCGUCACGGGCGUCGUGGCCCGCCGCGAGAGGAUCUUCUGGCAGCUCGACGCCUUCUUUUACAUGGUCAUCGAGCAGCACCUGCACCCUGAGCGCGCCAGCCCCCCUGAGAUGGAGAACGGCGGCGACCUCGUCGAUGCGCUCAUCGCCCACUGGAAGGAGCAUCGUGGGUUCACCAGAGACCACGUCAAGGCCAUAAUCUUUGACACGUUCAUCGUCGGCAUUGACACGAGCUCGGUGACGAUACUGUGGACAAUGUCGGAGCUUAUCCGGAAGCCGCGCGUGCUCGGCAAGGUGCAAGCCGGUAUUAGAGCCGUGGCUGGCGGCAACGUCAACGGGAGGGUGCUGUCCGAAGACGUGUCCAAGCUCAGCUACCUCGGGAUGGUGGUAAAAGAGACCAUGCGGCUGCACCCGCCGGCGCCAUUGAUAUUGCCGAGGAAGACGAUGCGGCACAUCCAGGUGGCCGGGUACGACGUGCCGGCCAAGACGCGGGUCUACGUCAAUGCGUGGGCCAUCGGUAGGGACCCGGCGAGCUGGCCGGACAACCCGGAGGAGUUCAACCCGGACAGGUUCGAGGGGAGCGACAUAGACCUUAAGGGCAAGCAUCCGGAGCUGAUGCCGUUCGGCACUGGGCGUCGGAUCUGCCCCGGCAUGUCGCUCGCCAUGGCCACCGUGGAGUUCACGCUGGCCAAUCUGCUCUGCUGCUUCGACUGGGCGCUCCCGAAGGGGAUGGCGGUGGACAACGUGAGCAUGGAGGAGGAAGGAAGGCUCGUGUUCCACCGCAAGACGCCCCUCGUGCUCGUGCCCACCGCUUACGUGCCGCCAUGGCGCCCAUGA